CGGACGGGUGAGUAAUGUAUGGGGAUCUGCCUGAUGGCGGGGGAUAACUACUGGAAACGGUAGCUAAUACCGCAUAACGUCGCAAGACCAAAGAGGGGGACCUUCGGGCCUCUUGCCAUCGGAUGUGCCCAGAUGGGAUUAGCUAGUAGGUGGGGUAACGGCUUACCUAGGCGACGAUCCCUAGCUGGUCUGAGAGGAUGACCAGCCACACUGGAACUGAGACACGGUCCAG
rnacentral:rRNA from 1 species